rnacentral:rRNA from 1 species
CCUACGGGUGGCAGCAGUAGGGAAUAUUGCUCAAUGGGGGAGAUCCUGAACCAGCCAAGCCGCGUGAGGGAAGACGGCCCUAUGGGUUGUAAACCUCUUUUGUCGGAGAACAAAACCCGGUACGUGUCCCGGACUGCGUGUAUCCGAAGAAAAAGCAUCGGCUAACUCCGUGCCAGCAGCCGCGGUAAUACGGAGGAUGCGAGCGUUAUCCGGAUUUAUUGGGGUUAAAGGGUGCGUAGGCGGACUGUUAAGUGAGCGGUAAAAGACCGGGGCUCAACCCCGGCGAGCCGUUGAAACUGGCUGUCUGGAGAUGUCGAGAGGUAUGCGGAAUGCGCAGUGUAGCGGUGAAAUGCUUAGAUAUUGCGCAGAACUCCGAUUGCGAAGGCAGCAUACCGGAGGCGAACUGACGCUGAGGCACGAAAGCGUGGGUAUCGAACAGGAUUAGAUACCCGAGUAGUC